GCAUCAUUGGUCUAGUGGUAGAAUUCAUCGUUCCCAUUGAUGAGGCCCGUGUUCGAUUCACGGAUGAUGCA